CACGUAGUUAGCCGGGGCUUUCUCGUUAGGUACCGUCAGACCGGGAGGUCAUCCCGGCGGUUCUUCCCUAACAACAGAACUUUACGAUCCGAAAACCUUCAUCGUUCACGCGGCGUUGCUCCGUCAGACUUUCGUCCAUUGCGGAAGAUUCCCUACUGCUGCCUCCCGUAGGAGUCUGGGCCGUGUCUCAGUCCCAGUGUGGCCGAUCACCCUCUCAGGUCGGCUACGCAUCGUCGCCUUGGUAGGCCGUUACCCCACCAACUAGCUAAUGCGCCGCAGGCCCAUCUGUACGUGACCAAAGGUCUUUCUCUUUCAGACCAUGCGGUCUGAAAACGUAUCCGGUAUUAGCUCCGGUUUCCCGGAGUUAUCCCAGUCGUACAGGCAGGUUACCUACGUGUUACUCACCCGUCCGCCGCUAACCGCCGAAGAGCAAGCUCUUCUUUGGUCCGCUCGACUUGCAUGUAUUAGGCACGCCGCCAGCGUUCGUCCUGAGCCACGGAUCAAACUCU
rnacentral:rRNA from 1 species